GGUAAUUUUCUGCUGCGAGUCAGAUGGAAGGACUUCAUUUGACUGAGUAUCCCCCUCUAGUUCUUUACACUGCUUUCUUGUUAAAACCAUUUGUAAGAGCUUCUGUUUGCUUCCGUUUGCUACGGAACGCAGAGCAGGCCACUCCCCAGGUGCAGUGAGUAAGAAUAGCUAAUUUACAACCUUGCAAAAAUAGGAGACUUGCCGAAAGCAAACAUUCCAAAAGAGGGAAAAUAAGGGAAUGUCUGAUAGACAAAAGGCAGCUGACUGGCUAAAAUUACUGACCUUUCUCAUCCAGUUAAAACAAUUGUUUGGGAGAAGAAUAAGCGAGCUGUGUACCUGUCGCCAUCUUAAGCUCGAGUCCGGUUUGAAACUGGAGCUGAGCAGAGCAGAGGCAAGCCAGAGGCCUCCGAGUCUGACCCACAGCCUCCUCUCCAUCCCAGAGCUCAGCCUGCCUGCCACCUCUUUCAUCCCUCAUGAAGAAGCAGGAGGAAUUCAAGAAAGCCCAGGUUUACUGAGAGUAUUUGUGUCUGGAGUUGUCGGCGCUCAGAUCAUACGGCUGCAUUUUGGGGCUUAAACGUCUGGAGCCUGCUCUGAUUCCAGCAUCCAGUGCUUGACCCCACCCACCUGAAGUGCAGAACAGGAUCCGUGAAGGCCUCCGUCAGUAGGGGAAACUGAGGCUCAGAUUCCAGAGAAGUCACUGGCAAUAGGCUGAGUGCUUUUGGCAAGCCUGUCAUCCUCAGCUCUUCAUCUGUGAAACGGUAAGAUUAAGGACCAGCCCUCAAGGGCUGCUUUGAGGAUGGAUGGAAUGAAAUUAGGAAUGGAGAACAAUCAUCUGCUACCAGCAAGUCUGCAUCCUCAACACUUCACCCAGCCAGGAUUUUACAGAAGCAAAUUAAACACCAGGAAGUUUCAGAAUAAUAAUUGACCCCAACAGUGGAAUAACACCAUCCACACAGGACUACCUCCGAUUGAACAUAAAACUACCGUGGCAGAAAUAUGAACCCUUCAUCAUUAACAAUAUAUCUUUCCUCGUGGCAUCUACAGAGUAAACCAGUGGGAAAAUGUUACUUUAAGCAUAAGGUUCUCCCUUCUUUUCGAUGGUGGCCGGUCAGAGUCCUGUAAGAUGCUCACAAACAGAACUGGAAGGCAGUUGCCCUCUUUUGCAAUCACUGCUCCCUCCUCAGCUGAUCUUCAGUGGCAUACUCAACAACCCUGGAUAGAUGUGUCCUUCAUAAAUGGAGCCAAUCCUCUUUCUAAAACCCAGCUAAGUUGCUAGCCAUCACCACAUCUUGUGGCGGUGAAUUCCAUACGCUCAUUAUGUGUUUGUACAAACAAGUCCUUCCUAUGGCCUGUCCCAAACCACCUGCCAAUCAUUUCCAUUUAGCAAGUGACCAUAAGAGCGUAACAUUCCAAAACAG